ACACACACACACGGUCAAAAUUAGGCGUAGGGAGGUGAACUGACAGUGAUGUUCACAGUAGGAGCCACAACCCCCUGUGACAAGCCACAGUCAUGCGCAGACCAUGGUACAAGGGGUGGAUACUAUGUGUAGGCUGAGGCAAACAGUAGCUUGUCUUCAAAAAGGAAAAUGCAGGAACUGUGUUUUAAGAGAAAGAAAGCAAAGAUCACUGGGUCCCAGGAGGAACAUGAAAAACAGAGCCAAAAAAAAUGUGUUUUUAAAAAGGAGACAGUUGCUUAGCACAUAUAAGGGUUCAAUCUCUAGUGCCAAAAAGGAAAUAAAUAUAAUAAAAAUUGUAAAGGAAGAAGCAGCAGCUUCUGUAUCUGACAGCUUCCAGACCCAGCUUCGUUCCCCACAGGCUUGUCCAAUUCUUCCUCUGGAGACGUUUUCAUCCACCCAAUUAUCCCUGUCCUCUUUGCUUGCACUGGUUUGAAUACGGCUGCCUGUGGCAGAUCCUGGAGUGACCCUCAUGGCUCCCGCCACCUUCCCUGGGUGUGGGUGGGACCUGCCGUAAACAGAACAUGGUUGAUGUAUGUUCAUGGCAGAACAUCUAGGGGCACCUAGAUGUAAUUAAGGUAAAUUAAUCAGCUGGGUAGUCCGAGUUAAUUAAGAGAGAGAUUAUCCUGACUGACUGAAUCGUGAGAAGUCCCUAAAAGAGAGAUGAGGGAGAAGCUCCCUGGUAGGCUUGAUGCGGUAAGCAGCUGUGUGGAAAGCUCAGACAGCAACAAACUGCGCUCUGCAGAUAGGAAUCAAGGCCAGACUCGAGCCGGUGCUUGCCUCUUCACACAAGCCCCUAGGAAGCAACUGCCGCCAGCAACCUGUGCGCAUAGAAGCAGGUUCUUCCCAGCUGCAUCUCUGGGUAAACAUGUAGCUUAGCCAGGUGUGGCGGUGCACACCUGUAAUCCCAGCUUGAGAAACUGAGGCAGAAGGAUCUCAAGUUCUAAACCAGCCUGGGAAAUUUAGCAAUUCCCUGUCUCAAAAUCAAAAUUAAUUAAUUAUAAAAAAGGACUGGAGAUGUAAUGCAGUUGGAAGUCCUUGGGUUCAAUCCCAGUACCGCAAUAAGAUAAAGCAAAACAGAUUUCAGCCUACCUGGGCUGGGAGUACACUCAGUACUGCCAGGCACUUGCCUAGCAUAUGGGAUGACCUGAGUUCAGUCCCCAGUACUAAAUAAAUAAAUACAAUCUUAAGAAGGCUGUCUAGCCAAUACUUUGGUUACAGUCUUGUGAUCAGAGGACUCAUCUCAGAUUCUCCUGGACUCUUGACCCAUAGACGCUCUGAGAUAAUAAGUCCAUUAACCUGCCAUGUUUGUGGGGAUGGUUUGGCACAACAAUAGAGAGCAAAUAUGUUGCCUUUCUCACCACUUUGGCUGAAUCAGCAGGCCUAAGGUUUUGUGUCAGGAGGCCUCUGUUCUGCUGACAGCUUUACAAUGGUUUUCUUGGACUCUGUCUUCAUGGUGUGUGCUAUUUAGUGAUGAGUAGGGUUUUGGUCUUUUGUAUGUGUUUUCACGCAGGGUCACGCUCUGUAGUUCAGGCUGGCCUUGAACUCACUAUGUAACCCAGGCUGGCCUUGAACUUAUGGUGAUCCUCCUGCCUCAGUCUCCUGAGUGCUAGAAUUAUAAGUGUGUGCCUGUCUGUGAUAUUUUAAUUCUACCUGUACUUAAAACACCACAUGGUGCUUUUACUUUAUCCAAUCAUUGUUCAUUUACUUUUACCCAGCUAUUUGCCCUUUCCAACCCUUCAUGUUCCUGCAUGUGUCCGCUUCUUUUUGGAUUUAUUUUCAUUGAAAACUUCCCUUUAGUUUUUUUUUAAAUAAGGAUCUCAUUUUGUAGUUUAGUCUGGCUUUAACUGACUAUUUAGCCCAGGCUGGCCUCAAACUCAUGGCAAUCUUCCUGCUUCAGCCUCCCUGGUGCUGGGAUUGCAGACAUGCACCAAAAUGUCCUGCUUAUCUUCUGAAUUUUAUCAUUUUUAUAAAACAGUCCAUUAUCAGUCAUGAGAUCAAUAGUGCUUGUUUUUUGGGGUACUGGGGAUUGAAUAUAGGGCUUUUUCACUGGGCUACAUCCUCAGCCCUUUUUUUAUUUUGAGCCAAGUCUCACUAAACUGCCCAAGAUGGGCUCAAAACUUGUAGCCUUCAUCCCUCAGCAUCUCGAACGCUGGAAUUACAGGGAUUUGGAGCCACACCUCACUUGAGUUUGUGUCUAGGUGACUUUAAUAAGUUCUGGAAAUUUUUCAGUUACUCUCUUCAAAUAUUUGUUUUUUCUAUUCUCUUUUCUUUCUUUUUAGGACUCUAUUCUAUGUAUUUGGGUCUUUUCGCCAUGUCCUAAAGCCCUCUUCCUCUCUUCCCUAUAUUUUCCAUUCUUUUCAUUUUCUUCACACUUCAGUUUCAAUAUUUUAUACUGAUGCUAUCUUCCCGCACAUUAAUCCUAGAAUCCGCUGGGUGCAGUCUGCUGUUAGGCUCACCUGCUGUGCUAAAUCAAGUUAUUGCAUUGAUCUGUUUGGGGAUUUUAAGCUGCAUUUUAAAUUUUAAUUGUUUUAUUUUUUUCAGGAUUGAACCCAGAGCCUUUGGUAUGCUAAGCAAGUGCUCUACCAUUGAGCGCCAGCUCCAGGCCUAAAUUGCAUUCCUUUAUUUUUUUCUUUCUUUCUUUUUUUUUUUUUUUUUUUUUUUUUUUUUCUCUUUUCGGCAGUUCUGGGGAUGAAACCUAGGGCCUCAGGCAUGCUAGGUAAGCAUCUUUGAACUACAACCCCCACUCAUGCAUUCCUCUAUCUAUCUAUCUAUCUAUCUGUCUGUCUGUCUGUCUGUCUAUCUAUGUAUCUAUCUAUCUUUGGUGCUGGGAAAUGCAUUCCUUCUCUUUCUUUCCUUUUUGCAGGGCCCCAGGUUGGGUAGUUAGCUAUCACUCUACCACAAUCCCAAUGCAAAAUCUUGCUGUUCUACAGAGAUUUCAGUUGUAUGAACCAGUAAAAUUCAUUUGUAUGAACCAGUAAAAUUUAAUUUCUGUUUCAGCCAGCUUUAGUUAGGUUCCUGUUACAUAGAACUGAAAUUCCUAACCAAUAGUGUGAGCUAUCCCCCUUCCUGAUGUCAACACAGGUGCAGUGGCUCCUGGUGUCAAAUACAGUCAUCAAAUCCAGAGAAGUGGGCCAUGUGCGUCUCUUUCUAUUAGGAGGGAAAAUCUUUUCUAGAAUCGUCAGCUCAGGAUGCCAGGGAUGUACCACACGCUACCUGAAAUGGGAUGAAUAUGGACAAGGUAAUAAAAAUUUCUGUUCAUGCCUAAUCUUGGGGAGUAGGUCAUGUUUCCUGAGCAGAGACCUGUAGUGGCUGAAUAUCCAAAUGAAAUUGGGGCUCUGUCUUCAAUAUAAAUAUGAGAAGGGGCCAGGAGUAGUGGCGCACACCUGUAAUCCCAGCACUCUCGGGUCUGAUGGAGAAGCAUUGCAAAUUUGAGCGUAGCCUGGGUAAGAGCAACUUGCCAAAAUCCUGUCUCACAUUGAAAAAGUAAAAACAGGCUGAGAAUGUAGUUCAGUGCAAAAGCUCUGGGUUCAAUCCCUAGGAGAGAGAGGGAGAGGCAGAGGGACAGGAGAGGAAGACAGAGAGAUUGGGUAGAUAAUCAACAACUCUUACUUCAAUAAAAAAUAUAUAAUUUUCUGUAAAAAAGUGCGUGUGUGUGUGUGUGUGUGUGUGUGUGUGUGUGUGUGUGUGUAGGAGGCGGAGAAGGAAUGGUACAUAUCAAUCUGUUAACAUGAUUUAAAUUUGGGGAUGGUGUGAUGAAUGGAUGUUUUCACUUAUAAAAUUUUUAUUAGCUUAUAUUACUUUGGUAAUUUAGCUUUAAAGGGACUGCUUCAAUCUGAAAAUGAGAUGCUCAGAAAUAGAGACGUGAUUCCAAAAAAGUAGAGCCAGAGAAGCAUAUGUUGGUAUAAACCAGUGCCAGACCUGAUCCCUUUCACACACACUCAGGUACCAGCGGGAACUUCGUUUCUACUGGAGAUUUGGGGGCGCAAGGCUAUCUGAGCCUGAGGCCGUAAAAUAUUGACACCAUCCCACCCCUUCUCUCACACUUGCAAAGCUGCCUUCAUAUCACAAAUUGGCCCCCUGUGCACAUUUUCCUAGAGGGAAAGGAUGUGAUGGACGAGGCGAUGUGAGCAUGCUGGUCCUCUUGGCAGUUCCAUCUCUCAUCGUAAGUUACUAUGUUGGUUCUUUAGCUCAGAGAGCAGGAUACGAGCUGAGCUGGUGUGAUGUACUUCCUAACACCCAGUAAACGGCUUCUCCCUUAAUGCUCUUAGCGUAAAAUAUAUAAGCCCGGACUAUGAUGAAUUUAUCAAGAUAAAUGUCAUCCCUGAUACCACGUGGCAGCUGGCCAGCCCGCCCGCCCUGAUGACACCUCUGCCUCUUCAAGCAGAGUUCUUCCCAAUCCUGUGCUUCCUAGACACAUUCAUCUCACCAGCUGUCUUCCUCCAUCUCUCACUGUCUUUCCUCUAUGACUUUGUCUCUAUCUCUAUCUGUCUUUUCCUCCUACACCCCUUAAUCUUCCUUUAUUUUUCCUUUCCCUUUUUCUUCUUUCAUUUCUCAUUUUAAUUAAAUAUAGAGCUGAAUAAUAGUAUAUACCAGAGCCCAAUGCCAAGUACUAUGUUGGGUUAUAAACUAAAAUUAUUUUUUCCACAAGCAUGGUAACACAUGCCUGUAAUUCCAGUACCCUGGGAGGCUGAGACAGGAGGAUCACAAAUUCAGGCCCAAUCUAGGCAACCUAUUGACUUAGCAAGACCCUGUUUCAAAAUAAUAGCAACAACAGGAACAACAGAUAAAACGGCUGGAGGUACCAGCCCUUCAGUCCACAGUACCACACAAAGAAUUGUUUUUUGACCUCACAAUACCUCUAAAAGGUUUUUAUUUUAUUUUACCAAGAAGAAAUGGAGGCUUGUGAAGCAUAGGUAGUUAUAAUUUGAAUUUUAAAGAUUUUCUCUGUUUAAUUUUCAAUUAGUAGCUGGGCGUGGUGGUGAACUCCAGUAAUCCCAGCACUUGGAAGGCUGAGACAGAGAACUGUUGGCAAGUUCAAGACCAGCCUGGGCUACAAAGUGAGCCCAAGGUCAGCCUGAACUGUAUAGUGAGACCCUGUCUCAAAAAGAUCAAAACUUUUUUCAAUUAGUAAAUUAAACACCCUAUGUUCCCUUUUCCAUAGAAAAUUCAAUUUAAAAAUACGUUUACAACGGCCAUCUUACUUUUGGUUGUGAUUUGUCUGGGCCAGAAGGAAAAUCCACCUUGAGUAUGCUUAUUCUUUCCUUAGGCUGGAGAAGGAGACAUGAAAUGGAUGAGAAAAGCUAUAUUCUUGGGUACUAGGAAUUGAAUCCACAGCCUUUGCACUUACCUAUGUUCCCAGCCCUUUAAAAAUUAUUUUUUAGAGCUAAAUAUGGUGGCACAUUGUCUUGGUUACUUUUUUUCUCAUUGCUAGGACAAAAUUCUUGACACCCUAGACAAAAGAAGAAAACAUUUAUUUAGCUCACUGUUUGUGGAGGUUUCAGUCCAUAAUCAGCUGCCUCCAAGGCAGGGUGGCAGGGCACUGGGGCAACACUUCAAGGUAGCAGCCAGCAAAAGCAGCCAGAGCAAAAUGGAAGCAGGAAGAGGAAGCCUCUUUUCCUCCCUUCUAUUGUAUACAGACCACCCCCAGAUCCCAGAGCAUAUGUAGCACUCACAAAAUCUCUGUGCCCUCCUCACAUUGUAUUAACCAGAACACACACCAUACUAUACUGAGGACUGUAAUCCCAGUCCUCAGGAGGCUGAGGCAUUAGACACCAAGAGUUUGAGGCUGGCCUAGGCUACAUAGUGAAUUCAAGGUCAGCCAGAACUCAUAGUGAGACCAUGUCUAAUUAACUAAGUAGCCCAAGCUAGGCAAUCGAAUGUGUGAUUCUCCUGUCUCUGUCUUCCAGAAUGCUAGGAUUUCAGGUGAGCACCACCACAUCCAUCUCUUUUUUUGGGGGGGGUGGGGGAGGAUGUGUUUUGUAGUUAUAAUCGUCUGAUGCUCCCUACGUAACCUGAGCUAACCUCAAACUCUCCAUCCUCUUUCAUCAGUCUUAUGAGUGCUGGGAUUGUAAGCGUAAGCCACCCUGACUGACUGGAAACAAACUGAAGAUGUAUCUUUCAGUAAUGUAGCUCCUUUCUGCUCUGGCCUUGCCCUGUCCACUUUGCUGGGAGCAGGACUUUACCCUGAUUUGUCUGGUACAAUCUUAGUCUUUCUCAUGGAAGAUGUGACCUCUGCCUCAUGAGGCUGAACACAAUUUCGACACUUAUGAAAAAUAAAGACAAUUUUUCAACACCUAUAUUUGUAAACUUUCAGUAACUUUGAGGUGGAGGUUGUGAUAAUGUUGAGUAUGUCCCCUGAAAGUCCACUCGGGUGUUGAAUUAGGCUGCUCAGUCCCAACCGCUAGUCUUCUAUGAUCUAAGAAGAUGAUGAGGCAUGGGGGCUGGGGAUUUAGCUCAGCGGCAUAAGCGCCUGCCUUGCAAGCAGGCAGUCGUGAGUUCGAUCCCCGGUACCGGUAAAAAAGGGAAAAGACCACAAAAAAAAAAAAAAAAAAAAGAUGAUGAGGCAGAAGUAAAAAGAACUCCUUCCAUAUUGCUCCAUGCAGGUCUGGGAGGAGCAGAAGAAAAAAUCAAGCUCUGUUUGGGUCCCUUCCACACUUACUCCAGCACAUGAAGAACGCUUGGCUCUUGGAGAUGCCAGUCCCAGGACUUCGGUUCUAGGCUUCAGAAGUAGGCAGCAAAGCCUGGGCUGAAGGGUUUCAGUCUGGCAUUUUCUCCACAUGGCUGCAACCAGACUCCCCACAACCAAGGGUCAAAACCUUCGAGCUGGAGUCCCUGGAGCUCCCACGACUGGCGCCUUGGAGACUGCUAAGGAGAUGGGACCCGGUUUUGAAGACAUGGAAGAGAGAUGGUGCAGAGAGAACUCAUUCUGAAAUGAAAGGAGUCCUGGGUCUCUAAGCAGCUUCUAAAAAUACCAUCUCCAGCGCAGGGGGCAGGGGGAGGGGAAAUCGAGCGUGAGAAGAAUGGAGAUGGGAAGGAGGUGGGGGACGCAGGAGCCCUUCUUCAGGUAGAUCUUAUUUCAGAGACCCCGCGUGCAUCCAGGAAUCCGGCAGGUGCCACACCCCCUUUUUUGCCUCAGCAGCCUUCUGCCUCUCCGGCCUCUGGUGGCGUUCGAGCCCCGCCCCCAUAUGACCUUUCUAGGAGCAAAGGAAGGUCAGAGUGCAACAUCUAUUCCUCCUAUCACUACAUACUGUCCGAUAAGUUAAAGAAUAUGGGGGCUGGGGAUUUAGCUCAGCGGCAUAAACGCCUGCCUUGCAAGCAGGCAGUCGUGGGUUCGAUCCCUGGUACCGAUAAAAACGAAAAAGACAAAAAAAAAAAAAAAGAAUAUGUGUGCCUGUGCUCAUUCUGCAUUCACACACGUCCCCAUCCCCAGGUAUCCUCAGCACAGAGCAUGGCACCCAGGAAGUGUUGUUUGGAGGGGUGAGGAGUACCUCUAUGCAAAAUGACACGGACACUCGGACCUCACAGGCCAAGUGGAUGCAGGUCUCCCAGUCAUCUCAAAGCCUCUUCCGCAAUUAUAGCGUCCAAAGGGAGAGGGGGUGGGUCCCCCAAGAGGAGAGCUCUGAAAAGCCACAAAGUGGGUGGAGCUUUCUCCCCUCAAGUUCAGCUCGAAUGGUGAAGCUCAAUAGCUGCCACCUCCUUCAUCCUAAAGAGCCCCAGCCCUUCCUACCACCAAACGGUUAAACCCUUGGAUUGCACAUAAAUGACCUUCACUAAAUAGAGGUCGUGUCCCACGUUUUCUUGUGGCUUCUCCAGAGCUGGCUGAACUCUGUCUGGGAGGACGGCUCCGCCUCUGUUGCAGAUGCCUCCGAUUCCCGGCCGCUGCGCUUCUUGCCAGUCUCCUGGGGUGGGAAGAGUGGGCUACUCAGAGGAGACUCCAGCUUGCACACA